GAUGAUGAAUGUUUAAUGAAGUUUUAAAAAAAUAGUUGUUUGUGUUUCUUUGUUACUAAAUGUCAAAGUAGAAAGUUUAUGCGGAUAAAUUUCCAAUGGGCAAUACAUUUUUUAAAUGUGAUAAUUGUCGACAGCAAUAUUUAAAAUUAUACAUAGUCGAAAAUCUUAUACUAUCCUGAUUAUCUACUUUCAACGCUAGGGUAAUGAGCCUAUUUUCGUCAUGUUUCUAUUAUCACCCUACUAAUUUGUAGCCGCUGGUUAGAGGAGCUUUUCCCAUCUUUGUUCAACGCAUUGGUUUAAAAGGUAAGGCAAUAAUUGGAACACUCGAUUCGAAUUUUCGUUGCGCUUAAAAACGAACAUUUUACAGCUUUCAUACCAAUUCAAUCAGAUGCACAAAUUUUGUUUUCGAACUCGGAACGCAUUUCCAUAAAUAAUUUAGUUAUAGGUUUUGUGCCCUUUACGUGCAAAGGUGGUUUCAAACUAUUUUCUCGUUAGUGGAGGAAAAUAGUUUUUAAUUAAAAUUUUUCUCCACUACGGAUAAAUAUAGCAUAAUGCCAAUUGUGUUAUUAUAUUGGUUCUUAAGAGCAAAGUAAAACUACUGAUGCCAAUUUAUACGCAUUGCAUCAAUUGUAGGCCUAUAAAUUAGUGAUACACCCACCAUGAUAGGGUUUAUUUUAUGUAAGAGGUUAACCUCAUUACCCUAUAUUCGGAGCAGAAGACGAAGCUUCUUAUUUUGAUACUGAUUUCACUAAAUAAUCCCCCUACAUGUGAAAUUAUGUUUUAAACAGAUUGUUUAGCAAAUAUAAUGAAAUGAUGAGUUCAUGAAAUAUGUAGGAUAUACGUUAGCCUUCGCCUAUUCAAUCAAUUCCAUUAAAAGAAUCCAACAUUUGCACAAUAUUUUCUUAAAUUUUUAUUGAAAAGUAUUAAAAAUUGGGUGAGUGACAUUGAAAUUUUCAGGAGGAAACUCGAAAAAAUGCGGUGUACACACUAACUUAAAACCUCCUAUACUAAUCGUUUAGAAAUUUCGCAGAGCUCUUUCUCACUUAAUUGCCCAGGUACCUACGGGAGUGCUUUACAACAUCAUUAUUAUUUUUUAAAUAACAUGUUAACCGAUUUUUUAACAAAUGUAUUGCCUUCAAAGUGCUAUGAAAAAUUCGAAAAAAUAAAGGCUGCUCUCAUUACUCCUUAUCACUUAUAGCAAAAACAUUUUCUGGGACCUUUGGCACCAAAACACUAGUUACGUUGUCCAGUCUUAACCGAUUUCUAGAAAGUUCUAGAGAGAAAAACUACACCUUUACAAAGGUAUGCUGUAUUAUUCCGUUAUGAAAGAAAUGUGCUAAAUUGCAACAAUAAUAAGAAAAUUGUCAUGUUUUGCAUUUUUUCAUGACAAAUAUGCAAAUGGUUCAACAUUCUUCCAAACGCACGUCAUGGUUCUAAUAAUAAUUCGGAAGAGCAUUUUAUACUGUUAUAAAUCAAUUUGGGGACAUGCAACAUUUUUCAAAACUUUUUGUGUUGCACUAUAACCUAUGCUAGUUCACUUCAAAAGUUAAAAAAUCACUAUAGCACCGUGAAAUGAGUUAUGAUGAAGUUUUGGUAACAAAUUCUUAAUCAACCUGGCCAGUGCGUAACGAAUAAACGGUUUGCUUCAAUAGAAACAUGUGUGUCACGUUUUAGCUUGGCUAUGGGUGCCAUACGUCAAAAAACGUAGCAAUUUUUGAUACCUAACUACUUCUUCCUAAACGAGUAUUAUAUUUUAAUAAUAGAUCGCUUGGCAAAUUUUGGCCCCUUAAGGAGAGUACUGUACUAUUUUAUCACUUACGAGGCCUACAAUCGAAGAAAUUUCAAUAAAUUGGCAUCAACACGUUUGCUUCGUUCCCAAGAACCACUAGUAAAAUAAUAAAUGGCCCGAGAAUAGUGGAAUACUUCUGUUUCAGGGCAACGAAAACUCUAAUCGGGUGCCCAAAAUAUCGCACUACAAUUCAAGUCAAAAGAUAGUACAAAUAUAUGGCAAACACUGCUCUAACCAAUGGUUUCAAAUGGGUUAAGAGCUAAUUGCUUGAGGCUGCGUUUACGUCGCGAUGCCCGAAUAGAAAUGUACAGUAACAAAACUAUGAAUUUCGCUGUGACAGUACAGUAAUUUUACAAUAAUUUACAGUGAAUUCUAGUGUUAUGCUACAAUACAAAAACAAUAAACUUUGAUGUUUCUACAGUAAAUUUCAAUGUAAAAUCGACUUUUACAGUGAAAAAGGGGGGUGGUCAAGGGCGUGACACUCUUUUAUAAAAAUAUUUCACGUGGUUUUAUAUUUUUUAUAUCUCUCUAUAUUUAUUUAUAAUUGUCUAUAAAAGUUAUAAUUGUAUUCGAAUCGUUGAAAGUUCGAAAAUAAAAUUCGAACACCCGUUACCAUAGUAGCCUUAGUUACCGCGAGUGAUUAUAAACAAUGAAAAAAAUGGUGUUGCAUCAACAAGAAGUGCUCUGUCUUAACACCGAUAGUGAUUAAGCCAUCCCAACGGAAACAAACAGCCACAAUUCCAGCGUUUUUCACCAACAUUUCACAGCAGCACCACAAAUUAGGAUUUUCCAUCAUCCGACUGGUCGGUAGCAAUAACGAUGAAGCGAUGCUUCUGCCAAAGGGUUUGACUCCAAUUCAACAGCCGCAACUAGUGCAAAUUCACAGGUGCAAACGAUGCAAGCCAAUCAGGAUCAAGUGCAGAUGACCAUUCGUCGCAGGAACAACCACAAACUAGAAUUAUCAUCACCCAGAUUCCGUAGUAGAUACAGCAACGGCACCUUCAGGUACAACAGCAGUAUACAAUACAGUCCCAAGCAGCAAAAACAUCACAAUCAGGAGGAACCACUGCAGCAGCCGCAACAAGAUUGAAUUGGCCACAAAUCGAUCAACAGCAGUAACGGAACAUACCCGGUCAACCGUAAACACAACAGCAAGGUACUCGGCGGAAGGGAUUUCUGUAUUUGUGCGUGUGUAUGACUCGUUUUUGAAAAAAGCGCUUUCCUUCGAUUCUCUGGCACGCUACCGGGGAAAUCCAUUACCAUUAAGUUGAACGAGAACCAGGAAUGAGUCCUUCGGGGAGACGACGCGUAAUGGUUAAUGUUGGUGGAGUUGCAGAUCACGCUCUGAAAAUAUCGCAAACUAUAUCCCCCUCAGCAGCACGCAACCCCGACACGAAAGGUGGUACGCAAAGCCCCUGAAAACAACGACAGCCCGUUAAUAUUUAGCAUAGCAUAAAAAGCCUAGUAGUUAGAAGAUAGAUGGCACAUAAUAGCAAGUCAGUCUCAUGUUCUGUACUAUCGCUAUACGCAUAACUGUUCCAUGUGCUAUGGAAUUUUCGAUGCACAUAACAUUAACCUUUAAACGUAUGAAACUCAUUUUCAUUGGUAUUCAUUUUUCGGUAUGGAUGCGAUAUUUACCUCUUGUUGAGGCUUAAUAUCACAGAAUUCGGUAUGUUGCCAAAUGACAACAGUAUGCAUUUAAGGGUUCAGUAAAAAACAAUCAAGAAAAUGAGAUAACAAUCAAUAGUCCUUACCGUUGUCGUAAUUUGCUGUAACUGAUGACGUUUGCAGCAUUACGUAACCAACAAAGUAGUGUUUAGCCUAGAAAAGUCCCUCGAUCUUUCACACAGAAAAAAGAUUAGUAUGUUCAAUAAAUUUAUGGAUUAAAUU